GCUGGGCACUUUCUUCCUGCGGCCGUGGAGAGAAGCCAGGCUGCCGUCCUGGCCAUGCAUGGCAGGAUCCUGGCAAACGGCAUAUGGCAAAUGCUCACACAAAAUGUGCUGGCUUGAUCAGACCAAUAUGCUCCUGUCAAGAGCAGCAGAACUCGUAGACUCAGGGUGCAUUCUAUCCAGGUUCCUAAACUGAGCUUGGAAGGAAGAGGAAAGAGCUGCAGAGGCGGAGACUCUGACCCCAAAGCGAUCGAGGGCCCUCCCCUGGCUUCCGUGUCCCUGUGGCAGGCGGUGGUGGUCGAAAUCUCUGCCCCUCAGAGUCCUGGGGAGGAUGGAUGGAACAGGAGGAGCAUCAUGAGAAGGCUUCCUGUAAACUACGGAGGGUGCUCGUGGAAGCCAGCAGAGGGUGUAGGGUCUCCUGGAGCCACAUCUCUGGAGUUACAUGAAGUUGUGGACCUCUCAACAUGGGUUCUGGGAACUGAACCCAGGUCCUCUGGAAGGACAUCGAGUGCUCUUAACCACUGAGCCAUCUCUGCAGCCUAACCCCAUCCCUUGGAGGCUGAAGCAAAGCAAGUUCAAUGACCGUGCGACCUGGCUCUUGUUUGGGCCUAAGGAAAAGCCGACUGUAAGCCGGGAAGCAUCUCUGGCAAGAACAAGGAAGGAUUAAGCACGUCUGUGGUUGUGCGCAGGGAUCACAAGGUGCUCCUGCAGUGGGAAGAGCCACCACUAGGGGCGCUCCAAGUCUUGUAUUUUCUACCUUGAAAACUCGUUUCCCUGUGGCUGCCCUCCAAAUCCAACGGAGAUGAAUGGCUUUUAGUUUACCUAGCUGAUUUAAUAAACUUUAAAAAUAAAUGUACGAAUGAC
rnacentral:lncRNA from 1 species